AUUCUCAGGUAAGCGGAAACAGCCCUUCUCGGAUCUUCCUCCGCAACCUACACAGCUCCGCCGCCUCCCCAUCGUUCUCAGGUCCGCCACUGACUCUCCUCCCCUUUCUCUGGCGGCCUCAACCCCUAAUGCUAGCGAUGGAGCCCAGCGCGGCGCCGCGCGAUCCGGAUCCCGGAGGAGCUCGCCCCCGCUCCGCCUCGCCACAUCCUUGUGGAAUCCUUGGAUUGGUUGAUGCGGCCGGCUGACCACGGUUGUUUCUGUUUCGCCUGGAGCCCUAUUGGGAGUGGAGCCUCGGGGAAGACGUGCCUCUCCGCCGCCGCCGCCGGUGAGGCGGCUAGACCGCGGCCCCGCGCCAUCAAAGGACGGCCUCGCGUCAUUAGCGACGGCUCGGCCACCUCGCCGUUGCUCUUAUUCUGAUAACAUGACACAUUCACACAUGUUUGGUUCCCUGGGGCUUAUUUUAAGUCCUGUCACAUCGAAUGUUUCAAUACCAAUUAGAAAAACUAAACAUAAGCUAAUUAUAAAACUAACUGCAUAAGCCUAGGGCUUAUUCACGAGAUGAAUCUAUUAAGCUUAAUUAAUCCAUGAUUAGCACAUGUUUACUGUAGCAUCACAUGGGCUAAUCACGUACUAAUUAGGUUUAAUAGAUUUAUCUCGUGAAUAAGCCUAGGGGUUAUGGAAUUUAUUUUGCCAUUAGUCUACGUUUAAUACUCCUAAUUAGCAUCCAAACAUCCGAUGUGACGGGGCUUAAAAUAAGCUCUUGGGGAACCAAACACCCCUAAAGCAUGUUAUGGAACCCAAGCAUGGAUAGCUGACUGCAAAUGAGAAAACCAAGUUUUGAAGACACGGAGUGGUGGAAUGAUUGGGUGUGUCGGAUUACUAACACCAGAACUCAUCAUUAAUCGCAUGGCUGGUAUGGAGCAUACCAUGGUCGACUGCCUCUGCUUUUGGGAAGGGUUCAUUUGGUUGGAAGGAUUGUGUUGGGUUCUGGAAGGCCCAUGGGGUCAUGAAUGGCGAAUCCAGCAGCCAAGUGAAGAGGGGGCUCAUCUCCCUUCUCUUCUUCUUCCUCCCCUUCUCUUCUUCUUCAUUCUUUGUUCCCAAAAAUGGAGGGGGGCUUAGGGGGGUAUCUAUUGAUUUUGGGGAGGUAGGGGGGGGGGGGGGCGCUUGAGCCCCCCCUGUAGAUCCGCCCUCAUGAUCCAAUCGUAAUUGUAUAAAUCAUGGGUUAGGUUUUGGCAAUUUCAGUUAUUGUUUUAGAAUUGUGUUGCCUGGUAUUUCUCCUGUCCUUUGGUCCAUAAAAGCCUACUAUGACUGUGGCCUCAUUCUGCAUCCACUUCAUUUCUGUCCAAAUUGCUUUCCAAAUUCAGUGCUUACUAAAUUGCUUUCCAAAUUUAGUGCUUACUAAAUUGCUUUCCAAAUUCAGUGCUUAGUUUCAGAUAGUACAUUCUCUUGUAGCAUUUGCCGUUAAAUGAAAGUGGUACUUUUUUUAGAGUACGAGUUCACUGAAAUUUAAAGUAUCAUGGUGGAUACUUGCAAGUGAAUUCAACGUAGCAAGAUGGUUUGUUUAAAUAUGUUAGAAUGAUCCUCACUCCAUGAUGGAGUGCCCCACUUGCCUUGUAAAAUGCAGCAUUGAGCAUUAAAUUGUUGCCAAAGUUGCUUUUUUAGUUUUCAUUUGCUCAGUUAUUUUUUGAUUGCUGUUAUGAUGAUUUCUGCUCUGUGAUACUUGCAGGAAGGGUAUUCCGAAAUGUGGAAGUUAUCUGCUGCCUUGGAAUAGAAUGCUGCAUUACUAAAAGGGUCUGGUCAUCUGCUAGGGUCUGGCUAACUACUUAAAACUCCAUUCGGCCAUCUUUGGUCAUGUAAUUGGUUUGUAAUAGUUGGGCCUGAACUGUUAACUUGGGUUUUCUCCAUAAACUUUUUUGGCUCUUUUGAUGUUUUGCUGUCGUGUCCGGCGUCACUUUGGCGGUGCAUGCUUUUCUGUGUGUAAAAUCGCACUGUAUAAUUGGAUUGGGCGUUAUUUAAUUGUUGGGUUCAGGCGCUUCUUAA